AUUUGGCUCACUGCAUAGCUGACCUUGUCUGAGCUUGGAAACUAAGCAGACUUGGACCUGGUUAGUACUUGGAUGGGAGACCACCAGGUAAUCCCAGAAAGGGAGAAUA
rnacentral:rRNA from 1 species